rnacentral:misc_RNA from 1 species
AAGUCGUAACAAAUCGAGCGGUAGUUCUAUAGGCAAUGUUUCUCCAAGCAGUCAGUGUCGGAAAGUGUCAUUGAUUGUGCAAGGAUAGCGCUUCUACGAUUCCUGUAGACCGUACACUCGGGCAGGAACUUUGCCAAAGGGUCCCCAUGCCCCCUAAUAACCCCACAGUUUAAUGUGAAGCUCAAUGUAAUACAUUGGGUAAAAAAACCAAACAACUGUUAACAAUGGAUAUCUUGGUUCUC